rnacentral:rRNA from 1 species
ACAGCAGCCGCCGCGGUAAUACGGAGGGAGCUAGCGUUGUUCGGAAUUACUGGGCGUAAAGCGCGCGUAGGCGGUUACUCAAGUCAGAGGUGAAAGCCCGGGGCUCAACCCCGGAACUGCCUUUGAAACUAGGUGACUAGAAUCUUGGAGAGGUCAGUGGAAUUCCGAGUGUAGAGGUGAAAUUCGUAGAUAUUCGGAAGAACACCAGUGGCGAAGGCGACUGACUGGACAAGUAUUGACGCUGAGGUGCGAAAGCGUGGGGAGCAAACAGGAUUAGAUACCCGGGUAGUCCCUGUCUCUUAUAC